GUCCUCAUUCUGUUUUAUAACGUUAACCGUAUCGCUUCUGAUUUAAUCACCAAUCACGAGAAACCCUUUUUUUAUAAUACAUUAGUUUGUUUAUUCUGGGAAUCGAACGCUAUAAAUCGAAACAUAGAGGACCUAACUGGGCAUCGUUGUAUGCAACUGGGCUGUAUAAACGGAGGUGUAAUUACCCUAUCAACAAGCUAUCGAAGCACGACACACAUCAACUGGUAAUAUCUUCUAGACGGAGUGCGCAUUGCAUUAGGGUGAGAGCAGUAAUAUCGAAUGGCUCAAUCAAAUAUGGCGUUCACAAUUGAGCCCUAUCGUCGUGGCGGAAAAUUUUCCGAUUGGGUUGAACGACUAACAUAUUUUUUUUCCAUGAACAAAGUUGAAGAGUCCGAAUACAAAGCUUAUUUUAUAACUUUGAGUGGUCCUACAGUUUUUACCGAGCUAAAACUGUUGUUUCCAAAUACUGAGCUGUCCCAGGUUUCUUAUGAAGAAAUGAUUAGGAAACUUAAAUCUAGGUUGGAUAAAACCGAAUCUGAUUUCAUACAGCGGGUAAAGUUUAAUAACAGGGUGCAGCAACCUAACGAAUCAGUGGAAGAUUUUAUCCUUGCCGUAAAACUCUUGGCAGAAUUCUGCGGAUUUGAAAAUUUUAAAAAUUCAGCAGUCAGGGAUCGUAUUGUUGCUGGGGUACAUGACAAACGUUUACAACAACGGCUUUUGAACGAGGAUAACCCCACUUUGGAAACAGUAGAGAGAGUAGUGGCUACUUGGGAGAUAGCAUCAAGCAAUGCGAUUACAUUAAAUGUGGACGUUAAUGCGGGUCAAGUUGGAUCUUUGCAAACUCCUAG